rnacentral:rRNA from 1 species
CCCUUCGAUGUUCUGGGCCGCACGCGCGCUACACUGAUGCAUUCAACGAGUCUAAAACCUGCUCUGAUAGGGGUGGGUAAUCUUUUGAAUGUGCAUCGUGAUUGGGAUAGAUGAUUGAAAUUUUUCAUCUUCAACGAGGAAUGCCUAGUAAACGCAAGUCAUCAGCUUGCAUUGAUUACGUCCCUGCCCUUUGUACACACCGCCCGUCGCUCCUACCGAUUGAAUGAUCCGAUGAAUAUCAUGGAUUGAGGAUGCAAGUAGGUUCACCUAUCUUCAUCUUCGAGAAGUGAAGUAAAUCUUAUCAUUUAGAGGAAGGAGAAGUCGUAACA